GACGAACGCUGGCGGCGUGCUUAACACAUGCAAGUCGAACGAAGUGGCGAACGGGUGAGUAACGCGUAAUCAACCUGCCCUUCAGAGGGGGACAACAGGUGGAAACGACUGCUAAUACCGCAUACUGAAGGAGGGGCUUGCGUUUGCUUAGCUAGUUGGAGGGGUAACGGCCCACCAAGGCGAUGAUCAGUAGCCGGUCUGGGAUGAUGAGCGGGUACAUUGGGACUGGGACAAGGCCCAGACUCCUACGGGAGGCAGCAGUGGGGAAGCUUCCGCAAUGGACGGAAAGCUGACGGAGCAACGCCGCGUGAGUGAGGACGGCCUUCGGGUUGUAAAGCUCUGUUAAUCGGGACGCGGUACCGAAAUAGAAAGCCACGGCUAACUCCGUGCCAGCAGCCGCGGUAAUUC
rnacentral:rRNA from 1 species